AUCCACAAUUGGUACCGAUUUUAAACUUUUACAGCCUAUUUCUGUUAUUUUUUGGCAUGUGAACUUAAGAAUUUUGUAAACGCAUUUCCCCUUUCGGCGAAAGGUAUCUGGUAUUGUGGAAAGAGCGACGCUUCUCGAGUCGUGACUGCUUGUGAGUAACACGCGUACUGCGUCAGUGGCGGCUGGCACCGCGCGCUCGAGACAGAUGGAGGGAAUCGUGACAGAUUGGAGGAGCCACAAAUGAAAGUCCUGGCCAAUCCAAUCCGCAGAAGAGGCCGUAGAGUAGGCCUACAGGAACUUUGGGGUUGCAAUCGAUAUGCUUUCUUAAAUAACCCUUAUUUUUCUCACGCAACGAAAUACAUCCAACAGGCAAAAGCUACUGUAUGUUAUAAAGAACGUAGCCUACGAUAGGGUGUGAUAUAAAAAUAUUAUCUUUUGCAAUCCCUGGCUCACACAAGCGUAGACAUUGGCUCUCAAAACAAAAAGACAACUCAGACUGGGUUCCGAUCGCUCUUACAGACAACCCAGCUGCUAAAGGCAAUGAUCAGCCGUUUGUGAAGAUCGUUUUCAAAGUAAACACUGCGGAUGCCGGCUCAAUUAGUAAUUGACUGUCUUUGCAAUGUUCGCGAGAACACAAAUCUCCUGCAGGUGGGAAGGAAUUCCAGCAUUGACUUUAAUGUGGAUGUCCAGUGGAAUAUGUAAUAUUACAAAUACGUUCCUGUGAUAAUUAAUGCUUUUUAGUACUUGAGUUUGAAUGUAUAUUAAGGGGAAAUGUAGUGCCUCAAAGCGGGAUGAAGCAUGUAUGUUGUCCGCAGAUGUAAUCAUCCAUUAACUAAAUUAAAUAGGCUCCUUCUCUCACACCCUCAGAUAGUUCGUUUGCUUAGGGGUCAGGCUGAUUUGAUUGCAGUUGUUUUGUACGAGAUGCUCCAAAUUCUUGCACAAGGCAAGACACGGGUAAUAGUUUUUCGAAAGCGUUCUUCAGCUGUGCACAUACAAAACACUCAGUUCCGAACUGAUCCCUUUGGGGGGUUUGUUUAGAACCAUAUUUGUUAAGGGUUCUCGUGGAACCCACAAGCGUUCUGCCUAGAAUCAAAGGUGUUCUAACUAGAACAAACGGGUUAUCCAAAGGGUUCCCCCACAUUGCAAAUCAAACCUUUCCAAACCCUUUGGAACCUUUUUUGUUUGUGUCUUUCUUUCUUUCGUUUUUUUGUUGGAGGAGGGGGGGUCCCUACUGGGAUGUGUAGCGAUUGGUGGGCCACGAUGACGAGUUAUAUACUCUCCAAUGAAAGCUUUCGCUGCCAUCUAUUUACUGGGUGUUGGAACAGAGUAGCGUUUCUGCCUAGUGCACAGCCAUCCGCAGGCAGCCGGAGACCGGCUCUCCAUCAGGCGAUGUUACGAGUAAGCGAGGACGUAGGCUUACUGCGAUGGAUGCUGCUUUAGUGAGAAAACAACGUUUUUGUUGCCUGAAUCGAUAUGGUUAAGUCGAAUGAGUUUGCAAUAUUGGUAAACCAAGGCAAGACUCUUGCGCGAAGAGAACUGAGUGUUGUAGGCUACCAAUUUCUGAACAGAUGCACUUGGUGUGGAUGAGAGACAGUGGAAGCCAGAAGACUCUUUUACGGUAGUAGUUCGUGGAGUGAAGUGGAUCUGGACCCAUAGAUUGUCCGUCACGAAUCUUUUUGCGGUCUGGGCUUGCUGUUCAUAAAAAUCCGUGUGGGAAGCCCUUACCCCAAAAAGCAUUUGUGGAGGACUAAGUCGCCGAAUUGAAUAUAUUGCAUUCAUUGGUCACUGAUAUUGUUGUUGUCAUAUCAUUACAAAUGUUUAAUUGUUGAUGGAUUUUUUAGUUAAAUAAUACUUACAGUAGAGAAGAGUUCUGAGCGCGUCAAAAUACUGAAAUUGUUAAACACCUGUUAAUCCCUUCUAGAUGACACACGCAAGCACACACACACACACACACACACACACACACACACACACACACACACACACACACACACACACACAGUCAGUUGAAUAACUUUCCAAGCUGCCAUUGUACUUCUAUGUUUGACUUCUAUGUUCAAAUACGUUUCUAUAGGCGUAGAAAUGAACUGAACUGAUCAAAAUCACAGGUUAAAAGUGUGUCAUUGAUGGUUUUUGAAGUAAGGCCAACCUAUUCUAUUACAAAUAGGGAAUUAAUUUACAACAUGGUACUUUUGUAACCUGCUAUUAUAGGAAAACAAUUCAAAAUACCAUCACUAGUGGGAUGGCAUCAGAAAACAUAAUUAAUUUAAUUGUUGUUCAAAUAAUACGUUUAUGAAAUCAAGCUUAUAUUGUCUGACACACGUGCCGGAAUAUGCCUGCAAAUGUUUUAUUGUUUGUUUAUUUUUUAUUUUCAAUAUUUGUUCAUAAUUAAAUUAUAUCUCACAAGUUCGUACUAGUUAUGCAUUCUCAAAAAAGUUAUUUGUGAGUAUUGUAUGAGUGUGCUGUUUAAAUAAAAUGCUGAUUAUG